rnacentral:rRNA from 1 species
UAGCGGCGGACGGGUGAGUAACACGUGGGUAACCUGCCUGUAAGACUGGGAUAACUCCGGGAAACCGGAGCUAAUACCGGAUAGUUCCUUGAACCGCAUGGUUCAAGGAUGAAAGACGGUUUCGGCUGUCACUUACAGAUGGACCCGCGGCGCAUUAGCUAGUUGGUGAGGUAACGGCUCACCAAGGCGACGAUGCGUAGCCGACCUGAGAGGGUGAUCGGCCACACUGGGACUGAGACACGGCCCAGACUCCUACGGGAGGCAGCAGUAGGGAAUCUUCCGCAAUGGACGAAAGUCUGACGGAGCAACGCCGCGUGAGUGAUGAAGGUUUUCGGAUCGUAAAGCUCUGUUGUUAGGGAAGAACAAGUGCAAGAGUAACUGCUUGCACCUUGACGGUACCUAACCAGAAAGCCACGGCUAACUACGUGCCAGCAGCCGCGGUAAUACGUAGGUGGCAAGCGUUGUCCGGAAUUAUUGGGCGUAAAGGGCUCGCAGGCGGUUUCUUAAGUCUGAUGUGAAAGCCCCCGGCUCAACCGGGGAGGGUCAUUGGAAACUGGGAAACUUGAGUGCAGAAGAGGAGAGUGGAAUUCCACGUGUAGCGGUGAAAUGCGUAGAGAUGUGGAGGAACACCAGUGGCGAAGGCGACUCUCUGGUCUGUAACUGACGCUGAGGAGCGAAAGCGUGGGGAGCGAACAGGAUUAGAUACCCUGGUAGUCCACGCCGUAAACGAUGAGUGCUAAGUGUU